UCCAGACUCCUACGGGAGGCAGCAGUGGGGAAUAUUGGGCAAUGGGCGCAAGCCUGACCCAGCAACGCCGCGUGAAGGAAGAAGGCUUUCGGGUUGUAAACUUCUUUUAUUGAGGACGAAACAAAUGACGGUACUCAAUGAAUAAGCCACAGCUAACUACGUGCCAGCAGCCGCGGUAAUACGUAGGUGGCAAGCGUUAUCCGGAUUUACUGGGUGUAAAGGGCGUGUAGGCGGGACUGCAAGUCAGAUGUGAAACCCAUGGGCUCAACCCAUGGCCUGCAUUUGAAACUGUAGUCCUUGAGUGAUGGAGAGGCAGGCGGAAUUCCGUGUGUAGCGGUGAAAUGCGUAGAUAUAAGGAAGAACACCAGUGGCGAAGGCGGAUGACUGGACGGCAACUGACGGUGAGGCGCGAAAGCGUGGGGAGCAAACAGGAUUAGAUACCCUCGUA
rnacentral:rRNA from 1 species